CUCAGGACGAACGCUGGCGGCGUGCCUAACACAUGCAAGUCGAGCGAAGCAUAGGUGCUUGCACUUAUGACUUAGCGGCGGACGGGUGAGUAACGCGUGGGUAACCUGCCCUGUACAGAGGAAUAACAGUUAGAAAUGACUGCUAAUGCCUCAUAAGCCGACGUAAUGGCAUCAUUAAGUCGGAAAAGAUUUAUCGGUACAGGAGGGACCCGCGUCUGAUUAGCUAGUUGGUGAGGUAACGGCUCACCAAGGCGACGAUCAGUAGCCGACCUGAGAGGGUGAUCGGCCACAUUGGAACUGAGACACGGUCCAAACUCCUACGGGAGGCAGCAGUGGGGAAUAUUGCACAAUGGGGGAAACCCUGAUGCAGCAACGCCGCGUGAAGGAAGAAGUAUUUCGGUAUGUAAACUUCUAUCAGUAGGAAAGAAAAAAUGACGGUACCUACAUAAGAAGCACCGGCUAAAUACGUGCCAGCCGCUGC
rnacentral:rRNA from 1 species